AAGCAUUGUCUAAGUACACACGGCCGGUACAGUAAAACUGCGAAUGGCUCAUUAAAUCCGAUAUGGUUUCCCUUGAUCGCUCCAAAGUCGUCCUUGGAUAACUGUGGGGAAAUCUAGAGCUAAUACAUGCAAACCGAGCGCUCUGACUUCGGGGAUGCGUGCAUUCAUCAGACCAAAAAGCCCCGGGGUCCAGCCCCCGGCCGCCUUGGGUGACUCUAGAUAACUUGGGCCGAUCGCACGCCCCCCGUGGCCGCGACGACUCAUUCGAAUGUCUGCCCUAUCACUUUCGAUGGUACUUUCUGUGCCUACCAUGGUGACCACGGGUUACCGGGGAAUCAGGGUUCGAUUCCGGGGAGGGAGCCUGAGAAACGGCUACCACAUCCAAGGAAGGCAGCAGGCGCGCAAAUUACCCACUCCCGACUCGGUGAGGUAGUGACGAAAAAUAACAAUUACAGGAACUCUUUCGAGGCCCUGUAAUUGGAAUGAGUACACUUUUUAAUCCUUUAACGAGGAUCCAUUGGAGGGCAAGUCUGGUGCCAGCAGCCGCGGUAAUUCCAGCUCCAAUAGCGUAUAUUAAAGUUGUUGCAGUAAAAAACUCGUAGUUGGAUCUUGGGAUCGAGUUGGCGGUCCGCCGCGAGGCGAGCUACCGCCCGUCCCAGCCCCUGCCUCUCGGCCCCCCCCGAUGCUCUUAGCUGAGUGUCCCGCCGGGUUCCGAAGCGUUUACUUUGAAAAAAUUAGAGUGUUCAAAGCAGGCCGGUCGCCUGAAUCUGCAGCUAGGAGAAUUGAAAUGGGACUCCGGUUUAAUUUGGUGGGUUUCCCUGAACCUUGGGCCCAUGAUAAGAGGGACGGCCGGGGGCUUUGUAUUUGCGCCUAGAGGUGAAAUUCUUGGACCGGCGCAAGACGGGCCAAAACGAAAGCAUUUGCCAAGAAUUUUUCCAUAAAUCAAGAUGAAAGUCGGGGGUUCGAAGACGAUCAGAUACCGUCGUAGUUCCGACCAUAAACCGAUGCCGACUGGCGAUCCGGCGGCGUUAUUUCAUGACCCGGCCGGGCAGCGUCCGGGAAACCAAAGUCUUUUGGGUUUCCGGGGGGAGUAUGGUUGCAAAGCUGAAACUUAAAGGAAUUGACGGAAGGGCACCACCAGGAGUGGAGCCUGCGGCUUAAUUUGACCCAACACGGGAAACCUCACCCGGCCCGGACAACGGAAAGGAUUGACAAGAUUGAUCGGCUUAAUUUGACUCAACACGGGGAAACUUACCAGGUCCAGACAUAGUAAGGAUUGACAGAUUGAGAGCUCUUUCUUGAUUCUAUGGGUGGAGGUGCAUGGCCGUUCUUAGUUGGUGGAGCGAUUUGUCUGGUUAAUUCCGAUAACGAACGAGACCUCAGCCUGCUAACUAGCUACGCGGAGGUUCCCCUUCGCGGCCAGCUUCUUAGAGGGACUAUGGCCGUUUAGGCCAUGGAAGUUUGAGGCAAUAACAGGUCUGUGAUGCCCUNNNNNNNNNUGGGCCGCACGCGCGCUACACUGAUGCAGCCAACGAGUUUUUCAUCCUGGUUCGAGAGGAUCGGGAAAUCUUCUCAAAUUGCAUCGUGAUGGGGAUAGACCAUUGCAAUUAUUGGUCUUCAACGAGGAAUUCCUAGUAAGCGCGUGUCAUCAACUCGUGUUGACCUAAUUCCGAUAACGAACGAGACUCUCCGGAUGCUAAAUAGUUCCGCGGCCCCCGUGUGCGGUCGGCGGCCCAACUUCUUAGAGGGACAAGUGGCGUUCAGCCACACGAGAUUGAGCAAUAACAG
rnacentral:rRNA from 1 species